rnacentral:rRNA from 1 species
UACGGGGGGGGCAAGCGUUGUUCGGAAUUACUGGGCGUAAAGGGCGCGUAGGCGGGCUGUCAAGUCUGGGGUGAAAUCCCACGGCUCAACCGUGGAACUGCCUUAGAUACUGACGGCCUCGAGGAAGGUAGGGGCAUGCGGAACUGUAGGUGGAGCGGUGAAAUGCGUUGAUAUCUACAGGAACUCCGGUGGCGGAAAGCGGCGUGCUGGACCUUUUCUGACGCUGAGGCGCGAAAGCUAGGGGAGCAAACGGGG